AUUGAACGCUGGCGGCAUGCUUUACACAUGCAAGUCGAACGGUAACAGGCCGCAAGGUGCUGACGAGUGGCGAACGGGUGAGUAAUGCAUCGGAACGUGCCCAGUCGUGGGGGAUAACGCAGCGAAAGCUGCGCUAAUACCGCAUACGAUCUAUGGAUGAAAGCGGGGGACCGUAAGGCCUCGCGCGAUUGGAGCGGCCGAUGUCAGAUUAGGUAGUUGGUGGGGUAAAGGCUCACCAAGCCAACGAUCUGUAGCUGGUCGGAGAGGACGACCAGCCACACUGGGACUGAGAAACGGCCCAGACUCCUACGGGAGGCAGCAGUGGGGAAUUUUGGACAAUGGGCGAAAGCCUGAUCCAGCAAUGCCGCGUGCAGGAAGAAGGCCUUCGGGUUGUAAACUGCUUUUGUACGGAACGAAACGGUCUGGUUAAUACCCGGGGCUAAUGACGGUACCGUAAGAAUAAGCACCGGCUAACUACGUGCCAGCCGCCGCCGUAAUAC
rnacentral:rRNA from 1 species